GACGAACGCUGGCGGCGUGCUUAACACAUGCAAGUCGAACGGAAAGGCCCUGCUUUUGUGGGGUGCUCGAGUGGCGAACGGGUGAGUAACACGUGAGUAACCUGCCCUUGACUUUGGGAUAACUUCAGGAAACUGGGGCUAAUACCGGAUAGGAGCUCCUGCUGCAUGGUGGGGGUUGGAAAGUUUCGGCGGUUGGGGAUGGACUCGCGGAUUAUCAGCUUGUUGGUGGGGUAGUGGCUUACCAAAGCAUUGACGGUUAGCCGGCCUGGGAGGGUGACGGGGCACAAUAGAACUGAGAUACGGACCAGACUGGUAUAGGAGACAGCAGUGGCAAAUAUUGUACAAUGAGCCGACGUAGGAGGAGGAGGCGCCGCGUGAGGGAUGACCGCUUUCGGGGUAAAAACCGCAUCAGCCUGAGACGAAGCUGGAGUGACGGUAAUGGAUGAAGAAGCACCGGCUAACUACGUG
rnacentral:rRNA from 1 species